rnacentral:miRNA from 1 species
UGAGGCAGGAGAAUUGCUUGAACCCAGGAGGCGGAGGUUGCAGUGAGCCGAGAUCACGCCACUGCACUCCAGCCUGGGUGACAGAGCGAGACUCCGUCUC